UAGACAUAGAAGAUGAACUCCAGAUUGGGGGCUGGAGCCAAGGGUGGGAGUCCCGGUUCUUCUGAGUUAGGAAUAGCUGUGUGGUGGAGGCAGACCUGUUCCCCCUAUCAGCCUCUCACAACUGCACAUUCUCUAUCCCAGGCAGGAAGCCAACUUAGUAUCUGAUUGUCAAGUUGGGGAGGAACAUUGUCCAACAUCAUUUUGUCAGUAAUACAAUUGCCUGGCUUAACCAGUUCCCAGUGUGGGAGGGGAAGGUUAGUAGGGGAGGUUGUUUCUCUGUCUCUAGUCAAAAAGACCUAGCAUGGACCCUGGAACCCCGCUGGAGUUGUCAAUUUGGCUUAAAAUGAAUGAAAGUAGAGAGAGUGGAUCUGGUAGGAAAAAAAACCAAGCAGGUUGAGUGUGAAGAUUAUACACAGGCAGUUGGAAGUAGUUGAUGUGACUUCCAACUCCCAAAGAUAGAUCAUUAGCAUUCUAAGAGCAAACAGCAGUCUUUCUCCUCGUGGGACGUUCAGGAGAGAAUGGUCACCCUUAGGACUUCCAGAACACACGACCUUUCUGAGUCUGGGGUCUCAGCCAACGCUGCAGGAACUCAAAGAAGUCCCCCCGCCCCAACUCCAAGAUUUAUGUGUUGACUUAGAACAAAGGGAGAUGUUUGCCAGCUCAGGGUUCAGGUUUAAAUCAAAGAGUUGAGGAGAUAGCAAGAUAAAGGGCCUGAUUGCAUUUCAGUUUCUUUCUCUUUUAAAAAUAAUAAGGGUCAGGAACACAGUGACCCUAAAGCAGGAGCUGGACGAAGUCCAUUUGGUUUCCAAGCCUUGAUGUGGGAAGAAAAGACAUGACACGGACCAUUGAUCUCGAUCCCAAGAAGGAUGAUGAUGUACAAACAGUUAUGCUCAUGAAUCAAAAUGGAGAUUUUUAUUUUCCCUCUUUGGGGUAAAUUUUGAGAAGCCAUUGCUGGUGAGGGCGGGACUUCUGCCUCCAGCUGCCUCCGCCUGGUGGAGGAACUGAACUGCGGAGGUGUUGAUGGGAGCAUGGCUACCUGAGAGUGAGCAAGGCUCAGAGACCAGCAUCUGUCUCCCAGAAUCUCUUGCUCCCCUGCUUGUCUGCCUGCCCCAUUUGGCAGUCACUCACAAAACGACUGCUGUGCCUCCAUCUGGGGAAUCUCCGAGGAACAUCGGGGAUGUGGGCUGUGAAACGUGGAUGUGCCUUCCAGAUUUUUUAUUUGUUGCUAAUGGCUUUCUAGGGACAGAAAUGUUGGGAGACCCUUUUGGACCUGGUGCUCACUGGACAGUUGUUUCCUAGGAUAUGGGAUGGCCACCGCCAUUUUUGUAGCCAGUGACACUGAUUUAUCCAGGGUGGUGAGGAAUCACGUAGGUUAUUGAUUUAUCGGGUCGAGGCAGCGGAGGGGAACCGACCCCAUGGCAAGAUUAGAAACGACAGCCAGAUGCAGACCCAGCCUCAGAAACGAUGAGCACUGGUCUCACAGCCAACCCCUCACCACCUCUCCCUGCCGUGCGCGCACUAAUCUCCUGGAUCUGACUUCUCCUUCCGGGUCUGACUUUUCCUUCCGGGUCUGACUUUUCCUUCCGGGCCUGAUCCUCUGCCCACAGGCGCUCAGGCAUCUGUCCUUAUCCUCACGGCUAAAUAAACCCAUUCAGACCCCAAGUUAACGGCGACUGACGGGUCUGUUGGUGAGAAGCUCUGUCUGCAACAUGAUUUCUGACAAGUCGUUUGGCAUAAUUAAAAAAUCGCUUAACAGAGCUAAGAAAAAAC
ensembl:lncRNA